UAGUCAUACGCUUAUCUCAAAGAUUAAGCCAUGCAUGUCUAAGUAUAGCAUUAUACGGUGAAACUGCGAAUGGCUCAUUAUAUCAGUUAUAGUUUAUUUGAUAGAUAUCCCUACUUGGAUAACUGUAGAAAUUCUAGAGCUAAUACAUGCCCGAAUUCCUUGUAACAGAGGAUGCAUUUAUUAGACUAAGCCAACCUAUUGUUGUUUGCGCUUCAAUAGAGCCUUGGUGAAUCAUGAUAACUUAGCGGAUCGAACGAAAGUUCGACGAAUCAUUCAA
rnacentral:rRNA from 1 species